rnacentral:lncRNA from 1 species
UUUCGCGCAAAGAAAAGGUUUCGGGGAGACCUUCGCUUCACAGUGGAAGUUAUGGAAUUGUUGUUUCCUUACUAUAGAAUACUUAUAUGAAUUCAGCAAAAUAGAACCAAGGACUUGUUUCCAGCUCCGAGCAGGGUUCCUUAUUUCUGUACUAGUUGAUGAGAGUUACUUCGGAAACAAAAAGAGUAAAGUCUGGGGUAUUUUCUUAAUUCCAAUAAAACGAAA